GAUGAACGCUGGCGGCGUGCCUAAUACAUGCAAGUCGAGCGAACGGACGAGAAGCUUGCUUUUCUGAUGUUAGCGGCGGACGGGUGAGUAACACGUGGAUAACCUACCUAUAAGACUGGGAUAACUUCGGGAAACCGGAGCUAAUACCGGAUAAUAUUUUGAACCGCAUGGUUCAAAAGUGAAAGACGGUCUUGCUGUCACUUAUAGAUGGAUCCGCGCUGCAUUAGCUAGUUGGUAAGGUAACGGCUUACCAAGGCAACGAUGCAUAGCCGACCUGAGAGGUUGAUCGGCCACACUGGAACUGAGACACGGUCCAGACUCCUACGGGAGGCAGCAGUAGGGAAUCUUCCGCAAUGGGCGAAAGCCUGACGGAGCAACGCCGCGUGAGUGAUGAAGGUCUUCGGAUCGUAAAACUCUGUUAUUAGGGAAGAACAUAUGUGUAAGUAACUGUGUACAUCUUGACGGUACCUAAUAAGAAAGCCACGGCUAACUACGUG
rnacentral:rRNA from 1 species